UUCACCAAGCCUCCGACAUGUCAAAAAUACUUUGCUAUUUUGAUUAUACUUGUUAUUUUGGUUUAUCUAGGGUAGCUAUGAUCAAUUCUUAAUAUAUCCUGGUAUAUAUGCUCCCCUUUUAGGUUAUGAUUGACAAUUAUGCAUCAUAUUAAUUUAUGUUAUCUCAGAUUAUGGAUUUUAUAAAUAGCGCUCUUAAUAGCCUUUGUUGAUGCCUAUCACCUAAUGUUUCUAACUAUUAGCUGUAAGGGUUAUUGCAUUUUUCUUAAGUUGGCCUUCAUAGUGAUGUGCUUUCUCCAUUAAGAGAAAAAUAAAGGUAGUACUGCUGAUCUCAAAAUAGAAAUUAGCUUUCCUGGGUUACUUUACCUUUCAACCUUUCCACUUGGUAGGAAUAUUUUGUUCAGGGUUCAGAGAUGGUUCUUCAUUCUUGGCUUGGGUUCAACUUGCUCUUUGUUAUUAGACUGCUUCUUUUAGGGUUAAUGUGUGAUUUCCUCUUUUCAAUUUAGUACAUCCACCCUAUGUGUAAAUGUUUUAUUUAUUUAUUGUCCGUCCUCUUCCUUUAACUCAUCGCCGGCAUGAAGAGGUUGCUCGCCGCUAUUGCUUCAAGUCAGGAUGGGAUGAUGUUGUUUAGGAGGUGUUCAUAGUACCAGGUCUCCAUAGACAUGACCGUUUCAGAUUGGGAACAAGGGGUGGAGCCAACCCGACCGUAGAGCCUUAGCAAGGUAGCUGGUCAGUUUGAAAGGUUGGCCCAGCGGGAGCAGGUUGCAGUUGUGGCCGCCUGGGCGGGAGCAGAAGCUGGCCCAGCAGCGAUCGACUCCUUCAGGUGGACGCAUGGGCGCAGUUGCGGCAGCCCGAGAUGGAGAAGAAGAUGCACCGGCCUCCUUGAGGCGGAUGCGAGCUUGGGCAGCAGGAGGCCGCUGGCCCAAGGUGCCGGGGACGAGCUCGAGCGGGAGGGCAGCGGGAAGACCGGUGGCGCUAGGGUAGCAGGAGUAGCAAUGAAAUAAUAAAGGCGACCGAACUAAAAUUUGUUACAUCGAUCAGCAUGUAUUUCUUGUUUUGGUCUCUGGGAUUUUCGGUGAUAUGUAUGCUGCUCAGUUGUACCCCUUCUUCUUUGAAUUCAGCUUUGUUGAUUAUUAUUGCUUUUCUUUUUUCAGAAUAUUGAUAUAGUGAUAUUA